AACGAACGCUGGCGGCGUGCUUAACACAUGCAAGUCGAACGCGAAAGUUUUCUUCGGAAGACGAGUAGAGUGGCGCACGGGUGAGUAACGCGUGGGUAACCUGCCCUUAAAUCUGGGAUAACUUUGCGAAAGCAUUGCUAAUACCGGAUACUAUUCCCAAGACUGUGGUUUUGGGAAUGAAAGGUGACCUCUUCAUGAAAGUUGCUGUUUAAGGAGGGGCUCGCGUACCAUUAGCUUGUUGGUGGGGUAAUGGCCUACCAAGGCGACGAUGGUUAGCUGGUCUGAGAGGAUGAUCAGCCACACUGGAACUGAAACACGGUCCAGACUCCUACGGGUGGCAG
rnacentral:rRNA from 1 species